GUGCUAACUUCAACAGCACAUAUACUAAAAUUGGAAUGACACAGAGAAGAUUAGCAUGGCCCUUGUGUAAGGAUGACACACAAAUUCAUGGAGCUUUCCAUAUUUUG